AGGUUAGAGGGAAGUGGGAGGCACUUUGCUGUCUUCAAUCGAAGUUGAGGGUGCAAAAAUGCAGAGUAAUAAAACUUUUAACUUGGAGAAGCAAAACCAUACUCCAAGAAAGCAUCAUCAACAUCACCACCAGCAGCAACAGCUGCAGCCGCCACCACCGCCAAUACCUGCAAAUGGGCAACAGGCCAGCAGCCAAAAUGAAGGCUUUGACUAUUUGGCCUGAAGAAUUUUAGAAAACCAGGAGAGAAGACCUUCACCCAACGAAGCCGUCUUUUUGUGGGAAAUCUUCCUCCCGACAUCACUGAGGAAGAAAUGAGGAAACUAUUUGAGAAAUAUGGAAAGGCAGGCGAAGUCUUCAUUCAUAAGGAUUAAGGAUUUGGCUUUAUCCGCUUGGAAACACGAACCCUAGCGGAGAUUGCGAAAGUGGAGCUGGACAAUAUGCCACUCUGUGGAAAGCAGCUGCGUGUGCGCUUUUCCUGCCAUAGUGCAUCCCUUACAGUUCGAAACCUUCCUCAGUAUGUGUCCAACGAAGUGCUGGAAGAAGCCUUUUCUGUGUUUGGCCAGGUAGAGAGGGCUGUAGUCAUUGUGGAUGAUCGAGGAAGGCCCUCAGGAAAAGGCAUUGUUGAGUUCUCAGGGAAGCCAGCUGCUGGGAAAGCUCUGGACAGACGCAGUGAAGGCUCCUUCCUGCUAACCACAUUUCCUCGUCCUGUGACUAUGGAGCCCAUGGACCAGUUAGAUGAUGAAGGGGGACUUCCAGAGAAGCUGGUUAUAAAAAACCAGCAAUUUCACAAGGAACGAGAGCAACCACCCAGAUUUGCACAGCCUGGCUCCUUUGAGUAUGAAUAUGCCAUGCGCUGGAAGGCACUCAUUGAGAUGGAGAAGCAGCAGCAGGACCAAGUGGACCGCAACAUCAAAGAGGCUCGUGAGAAGCCAGAGAUGGAGAUGGAGGCUGCACGCCAUAAGCACCAGGUCAUGCUAAUGAGACAGAAUUUGAUGAGGCGCCAAGAAGAACUUCGGAGGAUGGAAGAGCUGCACAACCAAGAGGUGCAAAAACGAAAGCAACUGGAGCUCAGGCAGGAGGAAGAGCGCAGGCGCCCUGAAGAAGAGAUGCGGCGGCAGCAAGAAGAAAUGAUGCAGCCACAGCAGGAAGGAUUCAAGGGAACCUUCCCUGAUGUGAGAGAGCAGGAGAUUUGGAUGGGUCAGAUGGCUAUGGGAGGUGCUAUGGGCAUAAACAGCAGAGGUGCCUUGACCCCUGCUCCUGUGCCAGCUGGUACCCCAGCUCCUCCAGGACCUGCCACUAUGAUGCCGGAUGGAACUUUGGGAUUGACCCCACCAACAACUGAACGCUUUGGUCAGGCUGCUACAAUGGAAGGAAUUGGGGCAAUUGGUGAAACUCCUCCUGCAUUCAACCAUGCAGCUCCUG
rnacentral:lncRNA from 1 species